CAGUAGCCGCGGUAAAACGUAGGUGGCAAGCGUUGUCCGGAAUUAUUGGGCGUAAAGGGCUCGCAGGCGGUUUCUUAAGUCUGAUGUGAAAGCCCCCGGCUCAACCGGGGAGGGUCAUUGGAAACUGGGAAACUUGAGUGCAGAAGAGGAGAGUGGAAUUCCACGUGUAGCGGUGAAAUGCGUAGAGAUGUGGAGGAACACCAGUGGCGAAGGCGACUCUCUGGUCUGUAACUGACGCUGAGGAGCGAAAGCGUGGGGAGCGAACAGGAUUAGAUACCCGGGUAGUCCCUGUCUCUUAUAC
rnacentral:rRNA from 1 species